UAGAAACCUUCUUACACAACAACAAAGUUCGUAUAUAGCGGCGGAAUUCUUAGCGGCACUAAGAAAAACGCCGCUAUAUAUUCAUUUUUUAGCAGCGAAUAGAAAAAAUCCGCUGCUCCAGGUAUGAUUACUUACGGUGGCUGAUGCAUAUUUGCCGCUGGAUAAGAGAUACACCGAAAAAUAAAAAAAGGCCCGCUAAAUCUUCUCUCCCGCGCAAACAAAUCCCGUAACUUCUUUCGUCUUCCCUCAAACCUCACCAGCAAAAUCCCUUUCACAUUCUUCUUUGAGCAUAUUCGCAUUUUCCUAUUUUCUUCGGCAGCUGAGAAGCAUCAAACGAAUUAAGAGACCAUCAAACCUUCUCUUUGCCGAUUCUAGGUUUUCAACCCUCAUCUCUUGUCACUCCUUCGGCAGCUGGGGAACCGAACUGAACCCAUCUCCGGCGAGGUGGAACCAAUACAAGAAUGAUAGAAGGCUUUGUUGAAGAUAUUGAAGAUACAAUCUUUUUUUGAAUUAUUAUUAUAUGUAACAAGAAUUUUGUACAUUUUCCACAUCAUUAUUAUGCGGAACUCACA